GACGAACGCUGGCGGCGUGCUUAACACAUGCAAGUCGAACGGUGAAGGGACCGGUUUUUGCUGGUUCUGGUUGAGUGGCGAACGGGUGAGUAACACGUGAGUAACCUGCCCCCUUCUUCUGGAUAACCGCAUGAAAGUGUGGCUAAUACGGGAUAUUCUGCGCCUGCUGCAUGGUGGGUGUGGGAAAGAUAUUGUUUCGGUGGGGGAUGGGCUCGCGGCCUAUCAGCUUGUUGGUGGGGUGAUGGCCUACCAAGGCGGUGACGGGUAGCCGGCCUGAGAGGGUGGACGGUCACACUGGGACUGAGACACGGCCCAGACUCCUACGGGAGGCAGCAGGGGGGAAUAUUGCACAAUGGGCGCAAGCCUGAUGCAGCGACGCCGCGUGAGGGAUGGAGGCCUUCGGGUUGUAAACCUCUUUCGCCAGUGAAGCAGGCCUGUCCCUUUUGUGGGUGGGUUGACGGUAGCUGGAGAAGAAGCGCCGGCUAACUACGUG
rnacentral:rRNA from 1 species